rnacentral:rRNA from 1 species
GGGAAGCGGAUUUUGCCAGUGAGCCCUUUGCACCAAUUUUGACCUCAAAUCAGGUAGGACUACCCGCUGAACUUAAGCAUAUCAAUAAGCGGAGGAAAAGAAACCAACAGGGAUUGCCUCAGUAACGGCGAGUGAAGCGGCAAAAGCUCAAAUUUGAAAUCUGGUUGUCUCUGGCAGCCCGAGUUGUAAUUUGAAGAACGGUCCUUGGAGAGGCGCCUUGUCUAUGUUCCUUGGAACAGGACGUCGCAGAGGGUGAGAAUCCCGUUUGGCGAGGUGUGCUGAUCCGUGUAAGGGCUGUUCGACGAGUCGAGUUGUUUGGGAAUGCAGCUCUAAGUGGGUGGUAAAUUCCAUCUAAAGCUAAAUAUUGGCGAGAGACCGAUAGCGAACAAGUACAGUGAUGGAAAGAUGAAAAGAACUUUGAAAAGAGAGUGAAAAAGUACGUGAAAUUGUUGAAAGGGAAGGUUAUUAGAUCAGACUUAGGGUGGAGUUAUACUUGUCCCCUUGUGGGGCAUUCACUAGCUCCAUGUCUAGGCCAGCAUCGAUUGUUUGUGGCCGGAAAAGGGGCGGAGGAAUGUGGCUGUGCCCUUAGCUGGUGCAGUGUUUAUAGCCUCUGCCUUAUGCGGCCUAGCUCGAUCGAGGACUGCGGCUGUCUAACAGCCUAGGAUGCUGGCGUAAUGAUCUAAUAUCGCCCGUCUUGAAACACGGACCAAGGAGUCUAACGUCUAUGCGAGUGUUUG